rnacentral:rRNA from 1 species
UACGGAGGGUGCAAGCGUUGUCCGGAUUCAUUGGGUUUAAAGGGUGCGCAGGCGGGAGAUUAAGUCAAGGGUGAAAGACGGUUGCUCAACAAUCGCAGUGCCCUUGAUACUGGUCUUCUUGGGUGACCUUGAGGUAGGCGGAAUGGGUGGUGUAGCGGUGAAAUGCAUAGAUACCACCCAGAACUCCGAUUGCGAAGGCAGCCUACUGGAGGUUAACCGACGCUCGAGGCACGAAAGCGUGGGGAUCAAACAGG